rnacentral:tRNA from 1 species
GUCCCGGUCGUCUAGCCCGGUCCAGGAUGAAGCCCUUUCGAGGCUUUGACGCGAGUUCGAUGUCCGGCUAUCUAUCCCACUAUUCUCCCAAUCAUGCUAUGAAAAUCUCGCCCGGGGCA